UACGUAGGGUGCAAGCGUUAAUCGGAAUUACUGGGCGUAAAGCGUGCGCAGGCGGUUUUGUAAGUCUGUCGUGAAAUCCCCCGGGCUCAACCCUGGGAAUGGCGAUGGAGACUGCAAGGCUAGAGUUUGGCAGAGGGGGGUAGAAUUCCACGUGUAGCAGUGAAAUGCGUAGAUAUGAUGGAGGAACACCGAUGGCGAAGGCAGCCCCCUGGGUCAAAACUGACGCUCAUGCACGAAAGCGUGGGGAGCAAACAG
rnacentral:rRNA from 1 species